AUUCAGCUGACGAAUCACAGAUAAGACGAAACGCGCGUUCUGGAU
rnacentral:hammerhead_ribozyme from 1 species